rnacentral:tRNA from 1 species
AGAAAGAUAAGCUAAGAGUAAGCUAACGGGCUCAUACCCCGUCUAUGAAAUUUAAUUUCUCUUUUUA